ACGAUACCAAACUUUAUGAAGGAC
rnacentral:miRNA from 1 species